AGCUGGUCCCCCCGCAACGAUACGUUGUGAAUCCCGCCAGGCCCGGAAGGGAGCAACGGUAGCAACCGACUCGUGUGCCGGGGUGUGGCUAGCUGGG
rfam:Kangiella geojedonensis strain YCS-5, complete genome.